UCAGACUUGAUCUGAUUGAAUCUAAUUCAAUUAAACUUGAUCUAGACUUUAAUACUCAAUAAAAUUAUGCUAAUUAGUAAUCUAAUCACUAAUUAAUCUUUUAUUAAUGAUAGAGUCUAAGUUUAGUGAAACUUUUCUCUAAAGUCCUCGUUCAGUGGGACUCUCCAGUAGAGUCCCCAUCCAGUGGGACUCUUCAUCAGAGUCUCUAUCCACUGGAACUCUUUAGAUUAUCCAUGU
rnacentral:lncRNA from 1 species